GUAGGGAAUAUUGGGCAAUGGAGGCAACUCUGACCCAGCCAUGCCGCGUGCAGGAUGACGGCCCUCUGGGUUGUAAACUGCUUUUAUACGGGAAGAAAAAAUACUACGUGUAGUAUACUGACGGUACCGUAAGAAUAAGGAUCGCCUAACUCCGUGCCAGCAGCCGCGGUAAUACGGAGGAUCCAAGCGUUGUCCGGAUUUAUUGGGUUUAAAGGGUGCGUAGGCGGAUCUUUAAGUCAGUGGUGAAAGCCUGCAGCUUAACUGUAGAAUUGCCAUUGAAACUGAAGAUCUUGAAUGUGGUUAAAGUAGGCGGAAUGUAUCAUGUAGCGGUGAAAUGCUUAGAUAUGAUACAGAACACCGAUAGCGAAGGCAGCUUGCUGAACCAUUAUUGACGCUGAGGCACGAAAGCGUGGGGAGCGAACAGGAUUAGAUACCCUUGUAGUCC
rnacentral:rRNA from 1 species